AUGAACCAAGGCUGUCUCCCAGGGCUCUUGUCCUUAAAAGGCUGUAAGAUCUCAGGACUGGUACUUCCGCAAGACUACAGAAGUCGUACCAAAUGGGAGGAAAAUCUGCAGGUUGGCUACGCAAGAAGACUUCCAUCAGUAGUCAAGAAAUUUGUAUGGCGUCUCUUCCAGGACUGGAGACUUCUUGCUCUACAGGUGAGACCUUUUCCAUCCUUUCUGCUUCUCUGCCCCCAGAUCUUUGUGUGCAUGAGUAGAGAUCAGCUCCUUUCCCAUUCCCCUAAAUCAUAAUCCAUUUUCUGUCCCAGGAGCCAGGGUUGUUGUGUUGAUUGUGUGAGUUGUACCCUAUACAAAAGGGCUCACUUAAGUGGCAGCAUGCAGAAGGGGUGGAUAGAGGUUGAAAUCUAGCUCAGGCUCCCCUCACCAAAUCCUGUGUUGGGGGAAGGUGCCUUUUCCUAACUCACACAAAGGUACCGUAUGAGCUAGCCACAGCCAUGCCACAUCUGACACUAUAAUAUUCUUUUUUUUUUUUGUCUUUUUUUUUGCUAUUUCUUUGGGCCGCUCCCGCGGCAUAUGGAGGUUCCCAGGCUAGGGGUCAAAUCGGAGCUGUAGCCCCUGGCCUACGCCAGAGACACAGCAACGUGGGAUCCGAGCUGCAUCUGCAACCUACACCACAGCUCACGGCAAUGCCAGAUCGUUAACCCACUGAGCAAGGGCAGGGACCGAACCCGCAACCUCAUGGUUCCUAGUCAGAUUCAUUAACCACUGCGCCACGACGGGAACUCCUGACACUAUAAUAUUAUUAUUUUUUUUUUGUCUUUUUUUUUGUUGUUGUUAUUGUUGUUGUUGUUGUUGUUGCUAUUUCUUGGGCCGCUCCUGCGGCAUAUGGAGGUUCCCAGGCUAGGGGUCUAAUUGGAGCUGUAGCCACUGGCCUAUGCCAGAGCCACAGCAACGCGGGAUCCAAGCCGUGUCUGCAACCUACACCACAGCUCACGGCAACGCCGGAUUGCUAACCCACUGAGCAAGGGCAGGGACCGAACCCGCAACCUCAUGGUUCCUAGUCGGAUUCGUUAACCACUGUGCUACAACGGGAACUCCUACUAUAAUAUUCUUAAAGAAAGUCCUCUUAGACUCCAUAGAUGAAGCCAGGCUUCUGAUUCCCUUGGUAAAACAUACUGACCAGUGUCCAUGGCACACUCAUGUCAGCAGCUGGCAGACCCACUAUACUGGAUACUUCACACCCUCCACUUAUGUUAUAUAUAUAUCGAACAUCACUAUUGACUGGUUUCUA
rnacentral:lncRNA from 1 species